GUGGCUAUGGUGUAGCGGUAACACAGAGGCUUGUGGAGCCUUUGUCACGGGUUCAACUCCCGUUAGCCACCCCA
rnacentral:tRNA from 1 species